CCCUUAGAUGUUCUGGGCCGCACACGCGCUACACUGAAGGAGGCAGCGUGUACUCCUGGAUCGAAAGAUUUGGGUAACCCGCGAAUCUCCUUCGUGCUAGGGAUUGAGGUUUGCAAUUAUCCUUCAUGAACGAGGAAUUCCCAGUAAGUGCAAGUCAUAAGCUUGCGCUGACUACGUCCCCGCCCUUUGUACACACCGCCCGUCGCUACUACCGAUUGAAUGAUUUAGUGAGGACUUCGGACUGGGACCGAUGCGGCUUUCGGGCUGCGUCGGUAUUCUGGAAAGAUGUCCAAACUGUAUCAUUUAGAGGAAGUAAAANUCGUANCA
rnacentral:rRNA from 1 species